rnacentral:rRNA from 1 species
UACAGGAUUAGAUACCCUGGUAGUCCACCCCGUAAACGUUGGGAACUAGUUGUGGGGGCCUUUCCACGGUCUCCGUGACGCAGCUAACGCAUUAAGUUCCCCGCCUGGGGAGUACGGCCGCAAGGCUAAAACUCAAAGGAAUUGACGGGGACCCGCACAAGCGGCGGAGCAUGCGGAUUAAUUCGAUGCAACGCGAAGAACCUUACCAAGGCUUGACAUAUAGAGGAAAGUUCUGGAAACAGUUCCCCCGCAAGGUCUCUAUACAGGUGGUGCAUGGUUGUCGUCAGCUCGUGUCGUGAGAUGUUGGGUUAAGUCCCGCAACGAGCGCAACCCUCGUUCUAUGUUGCCAGCACGUUAUGGUGGGAACUCAUGGGAUACUGCCGGGGUCAACUCGGAGGAAGGUGGGGAUGACGUCAAAUCAUCAUGCCCCUUAUGUCUUGGGCUUCACGCAUGCUACAAUGGCCGGUACAAAGGGCUGCAAUACCGUGAGGUGGAGCGAAUCCCAAAAAGCCGGUCCCAGUUCGGAUUGAGGUCUGCAACUCGACCUCAUGAAGUCGGAGUCGCUAGUAAUCGCAGAUCAGCAACGCUGCGGUGAAUACGUUCCCGGGUCUUGUACACACCGCCCGUCAAGUCAUGAAAGUCGGUAACACCUGAAGCCGGUGGCCUAACCCUUGUGGAGGAGCCCGAAGUG